CCUGAGUUAUUAUAUUAGUUAACAAGCAUUACGUAUUUACAUUACAUGUGCCCGAUAAUAUUUAAACAGGGCAUUUGUUAACUAUACAAACAAAUUUAAAACAUUCAUACAUCCCUACAUGCCUACCUACAUGGUUAUUUUAUUCUUUUAAAUAUAUACGCAAAUAGCUUCCAAAUCAAAAACACACAUUAACUUACGCAACAUUCGAUUUUUAUUUGUUUACCGAUGAUAAAUCAUCACAUGGAACUUGAUAUGAUGAAAUAGAAGAGAAAUUACAAUAGCCAAUUAAACCUUAGCAAUGUUUUUCCAAGUACCAUAUUUUGAGCUGAAAGUUCCUCCACCACUCAAUU
rnacentral:lncRNA from 1 species